rnacentral:rRNA from 1 species
UACAGAGGGUGCAAGCGUUGUUCGGAAUUAUUGGGCGUAAAGGGCGCGUAGGCGGUGCGGUAAGUCACCUGUGAAACCUCUGGGCUUAACUCAGAGCCUGCAGGCGAAACUGCCGUGCUUGAGUGUGGGAGAGGGAAGUGGAAUUUCCGGUGUAGCGGUGAAAUGCGUAGAUAUCGGAAGGAACAUCAGUGGCGAAAGCGACUUCCUGGACCAAUACUGACGCUCAUGUGCGAAAGCGUGGGGAGCAAACAGG